CUUUCGCAUAUUGUUUGUACUGCUAUUUGAUUUAUUAGUUCAAUACAUAUUGUUUGUCCUGCUAUUUGAUUUAUUAAAGAAUUUGCAGCUCAUAGUUUCUUGUUCGUGCUCAGGGUAGAUUUUGUGUCCACAUUAUAGCUGAGCAACUCUUUCAUCCCUAGCAGAUUCAUCUAUCCGGUUCCAAAUACAGUUGAAUUUGCUUACUGGAUUGGUCGAACAAAGCAGAAGAAAAUUCUUGUGACUUCUGUAGCUAGCAGGGUGCUCGAGGAGCGGCGACAAACAUGUUGGAGGUGCUCUCUUGUAUCAAGGAUUGAGAGUUGGCUGACCAGCACAAGCAGCAUACUGUUGAGAAGGAAAUCAAAGACCUUGAAGCAACCUUUGAGGAUAUGUACCUAGAUGUUGAGUAGCAAGUAUCACCAGGGAGCAAAAGAAAAGGAACAAGGAGGAGGAGGAGAUAAGAGAAAGGAAGCAACAACACAAAGUUCAAGAAACAAAGAACCUUAAACUUAUUCUCUCUUUCUAUUUGUACCUAUUUAUGUUCUCUUAAUAUAGACUUUGGACUGUGGACUGAACUAUGAACUUAUAAACUAUUUAAGGAGUUGGUUG